UUCCCUGAGGAUGAAGAGGAUGCCUCAACUCAACCUUCUUGCUGUGAACUGUUGUGAGCAUGGCAUUAGAGACAUCACACGAAGAAACAUAUGAGGACAGUUCCAGAGCAUGAAGGUUGUCUCAGCUGCAUCCUUGCCAACCUCCUAGUGAGUUAGGGACAUCUCCUGAGGAAAGGAAGGGUGAGGUCAUUAGGCUUUGUGCAAAAGAGCCUCUGUGUCAGGAACAUCUGAGCUGCCGAGGCACCUGGAGUGGUAUCUCUGGUUUGACAGCAUGCAGGAUUUGUGUUUUCUUCUAAGAAGAAAAUUAACUCUAUCCCAGCCAAAACCAGGACAGUAGUGUUUCAUUCCUUCCUGACCCCAAACCUGGUGGUCAUAAAGAAGACAACACUCACAAGGAACUGUGCAAGGUCUUCAACUUUCCAUUUGAAAUCUGGAAAAGAAAUUCAAGGAGUCCUCCAUCAUGAUAAAGGAAAAAUAAAACCCCAAAACUAAAACAAAAAAAAACCCACCACCACCACCAAAAAAAAAAAAAAAGAAACACAAACUUUUG
rnacentral:lncRNA from 1 species